rnacentral:rRNA from 1 species
UACAGAGGUCUCAAGCGUUGUUCGGAUUCAUUGGGCGUAAAGGGCGCGUAGGCGGCCCGCUAAGUCGAACGUGAAAUCCCCGAGCUCAACUCGGGAACUGCGUCCGAUACUGGUGGGCUUGAAUCCGGGAGAGGGAUGCGGAAUUCCAGGUGUAGCGGUGAAAUGCGUAGAUAUCUGGAGGAACACCGGUGGCGAAGGCGGCAUCCUGGACCGGCAUUGACGCUGAGGCGCGAAAGCUAGGGGAGCAAACGGG